rnacentral:antisense_RNA from 1 species
CAUUUUAGCCAUUGACAGAUGUAUUUUCAAACCAAGGCAUGCUCUGUCAGAAGACUACAAAAAUAUUACUGCUUCAGGAAACCAUAUCAGUAACCAUAUGAUAUUUAAAAUCUUGAGAUCAAUUGUGUCAAGUAAAACAAAUCAUGCCAGAUAAAAAUUAUGAAUUUUUCCAUAAAAGCAUCAUCUUCAGGAAGGACCUCAGGAUCCUUCCUGAGGAUGGUAUAACUUUGCGGCAGCCCUCCCAGAAAGACUCCUGUGUUAUCUCCAAUAACAGUACUACCAUUCAGGAUGGCAGAGGAACCUAGAGAAGAGGAGAUGAGAAAUACACCUUCACCAGGAUACUCUAGUUUUACUAGCUCAGCAAAUAAUAAAAUCCUUCACCAGUC